ensembl:snRNA U6 U6 spliceosomal RNA
GUGCUCGCUUCGUCAGCAGAUAUACUAAAAUUGGAAUGAUGCGGAGAAGAUUAGCAUGGCCCCUGUGCAAGGAUGAUUCGCAUAUUUGUGAAGCGUUUCAUACUUUU